AUGGCUCAGGAUGAACGCUGGCGACAGGCUUAACACAUGCAAGUCGAGGGGCAUCACGGGAGUAGCAAUACAACUGGUGGCGACCGGCGCACGGGUGAGUAACGCGUAUGCAACCUACCUAUCAGAGGGGAAUAACCCGGCGAAAGUCGGACUAAUACCGCAUAAAACAGGGGCACCGCAUGGUGAUAUUUGUUAAAGAAAUUCGCUGAUAGAUGGGCAUGCGUUCCAUUAGGUAGUUGGUGAGGUAACGGCUCACCAAGCCGACGAUGGAUAGGGGAACUGAGAGGUUGGUCCCCCACACUGGUACUGAGACACGGACCAGACUCCUACGGGAGGCAGCAGUGAGGAAUAUUGGUCAAUGGGCGGGAGCCUGAACCAGCCAAGUCGCGUGAAGGAAGAAGGAUCUAUGGUUCGUAAACUUCUUUUGCAGGGGAAUAAAGUGCAGGACGUGUCCUGUUUUGUAUGUACCCUGAGAAUAAGGAUCGGCUAACUCCGUGCCAGCAGCGGC
rnacentral:rRNA from 1 species